AGUGAACGCUGGCGGUAGGCCUAACACAUGCAAGUCGAACGGCAGCACAGUAAGAGCUUGCUCUUACGGGUGGCGAGUGGCGGACGGGUGCGGAAUACAUCGGAAUCUACUUUUUCGUGGGGGAUAACGUAGGGAAACUUACGCUAAUACCGCAUACGACCUACGGGUGAAAGCAGGGGAUCUUCGGACCUUGCGCGAUUGAAUGAGCCGGUGUCGGAUUAGCUAGUGGGGGGGGUAAAGGCCCACCAAGGGGACGAUCCGUAGCGGGUCUGAGAGGAUGAACAAGCACACUGGAACUGAGACAGGGUCCAGACUCCUACGGGAGGAAGCAGUGGGGAAUAUUGGACAAAGGGGGCAAGCCUGAUCCAGCCAUACCGCGUGAGUGAAGAAGGCCUUCGGGUUGUAAAGCCCUGUUGUUGGGAAAGAAAAGCAGCAGGUUAAUACCCCGCGGUUCUGACGGUACCCAAAGAAUAAGCACCGGCUAACUUCGUG
rnacentral:rRNA from 1 species